ACAUGCAAGUCGAACGAUGAUGGGAGCUUGCUCCUGGAUUAGUGGCGAACGGGUGAGUAACACGUGAGUAACCUGCCCUUAACUCUGGGAUAAGCCUGGGAAACUGGGUCUAAUACCGGAUAUGACUCCUCAUCGCAUGAUGGGGGGUGGAAAGCUUUAUUGUGGUUUUGGAUGGACUCGCGGCCUAUCAGCUUGUUGGUGAGGUAAUGGCUUACCAAGGCGACGACGGGUAGCCGGCCUGAGAGGGUGACCGGCCACACUGGGACUGAGUCACGGCCCAGACUCCUACGGGAGGCAGCAGUGGGGAAUAUUGCACAAUGGGCGCAAGCCUGAUGCAGCGACGCCGCGUGAGGGAUGACGGCCUUCGGGUUGUAAACCUCUUUCAGUAGGGAAGAAGCGAAAGUGACGGUACCUGCAGAAGAAGCGCCGGCUAACUACGUGCCAGCAGCCGCGGUAAUACGUAGGGCGCAAGCGUUAUCCGGAAUUAUUGGGCGUAAAGAGCUCGUAGGCGGUUUGUCGCGUCUGCCGUGAAAGUCCGGGGCUCAACUCCGGAUCUGCGGUGGGUACGGGCAGACUAGAGUGAUGUAGGGGAGACUGGAAUUCCUGGUGUAGCGGUGAAAUGCGCAGAUAUCAGGAGGAACACCGAUGGCGAAGGCAAGUCUCUGGGCAUUAACUGACGCUGAGGAGC
rnacentral:rRNA from 1 species